CAGCCGGCGACGGUGUAUUCCAAAUAGGUUUAAGAAACGCCGUCGCCCGAUGUGGACGCGUUCGAAUAUUGGCCAAUACUUCUUCUUACUGGCGUGCGGCAUCUCCCCCCAAGUGCCCAGCCAGUCGAGGAACCGUGGAUCGCGUUCCUUUGUUUUACUCCUAAUGGUCUUGACCCGGAUUCAUCCCCCAGAAGCCGG
rnacentral:sRNA from 1 species